rnacentral:piRNA from 1 species
UAGAUAAAGGUUAAAACCAUUCCCAGGGUC